AUAAAGGUGGGACUAACACCCACGUAAAUAGGGCUACAACCUACUGCCUUCUCGGCCACCUUACCCG
rnacentral:tRNA from 1 species